CAACAUUUGGCGCCUUAAUUUAUCCGCCGUCCGUUGCGGCUUUUGGCAAAACAAGUUGAUUCGAAGGCGAGACGAGUCGUCUUCAACAUCGCCUCCCUGCGCACUCGUUUUCCGAUUGCUUUGUGGGACCAAAACAUUAUCGUCUUCAACAUCGCCUCCCUGCGCACUCGUUUUCCGAUUGCUUUGUGGGACCAAAACAUUAUCGUCUUCAACAUCGCCUCCCUGCGCACUCGUUUUCCGAUUGCUUUGUGGGACCAAAACAUUAUCCACUUCAUAAUUUCAGUUCCUUUUCCCAUUUCAUCGACUCAAAUUAACUCGUGAGAGGAAUCGCGUUCCAAGUUCAUACUCACUGUUUUGGUGUCUCCAUGUUAACUCUACAAUAUUCUAGCGACUGCUUUCUCAACGAUGCUCUGUUUGCUCUGACGCAAAAUGGUUCAGAAAACGUACCUGCUUCUUUACCACGAGAGCUUUGCAGAUCAUUAAUAUCGCCAUCUGCUCUGUUUUCUUCAAUUAAUCAACAAGUUUUGAGUACAGCCUUCCCUUUUCAGAAAGGCCGUUUGUAAUAUCCCGGAUGGAUCCAACCUGACCUUUCAAUCAUUGCAGUGGCUUUCUUUUUCCUGCUCUGUUGUGGGCAGGUUUCAUUGGUAUGCCGUCUUAGUAUACAUGGAAUCUUGAUUGGUAACUGAUAAUUUCAACUCUAUAUGCUUACCAACAUGGAGUUAGGGCAUGGAGUUAGGGCUGUUUUCUUUCUUUUUCUCUCCAUUCCUUUUGUCAUAAGUUUCAUGAAUUUGAAGAAUGAUUAGACCUUUCUUUAUUAUUCGUGGAGAUCAGGGACGACACCCUCCUGGAUAUUGGAACUCUCUCUUGGGCCGCGGUAACUUAGAGGGUGUCUGCAAUAACCUUCGCGUCCCUUUUCUUUCAGUUCUUCAUUUGCGGAUGAACAUCUCUUGCUUCAGCACAUCGAUACUAUUACUAUUUCACAGGUUAAGCAACAUUAAGAAAUGGAGAGUCACGAGAGGAGUAGUGUAGCGCAGGAUGGUGAUGCAGAACUAUUAUGUGUUGGUGACUUGCAGAUGUAAUCGGUUAAAGUAAAGGUUUCCAUGAGAUUGACUAAAGUGUCUGAUCUGAAGGCUACUUGUCACCCAUUCCUCUGGCUUGUGAGAAGACAAAUUUUCUAGGCCUGAUGGACCUUCAUCUGUCAUUUUCAACUGGUCAAGCUGGUGACGUGCAAAAUGGUUCUCUGGAGUAAAUGUGAAGUUCAGAUGAAUUCUCAGUACCAUUAACAUGAGGGUUGAGAUAGGUUCAUUUAUUCUUCGUCUUAGUUUAUUGUUUUUUAUUCACAAAUCUGACCUGCCAGCUUCCGUAAUCUGCGACUUUUCCAUCAUCUUCCUGAGGCGCAUACUGGGUCAAAGUGGCGGUGAACGGAGGUACAAUUAUGACAUAUAGAUUGCCUUACUUCCAUUGUUCCAUAUUCUUAUCUGGACCUGAAAUUCAUGUUUCAAGUCAUAGUUCUAGUCUUACGUAAACAGUAUACUGAUUCUCUUUUGUUUUAGUUCUGUAACGUGUUUGAAUUUUUUUUGGCAAUAUGCAACUUAAUUGGCACGUAUAAAACAAUAGUCUUAGUAUUAUGGAUAUAUUACUGGGUUGGAGUUCUUCUAGUCUUUUAGGUUGCCGCAUCAUCUGUAUGUACUGAUACUCUUGAGGUACUUUUUAUUGGCUAGAAUUUCUAGUUUUGUGCCACAUACAGAUGAUGGCUGUAUGGGGGGCCAUUUUCGUCGUAGUAUGAGGGCAACAGAAUAGUAAUUGCGACUUUUAUUGGAAUUAUUUUACGAGAAAAGAAUAAACCGACCUACUGCAUAUUUAUUUGAUUUCCAGUUUCAACAUGACUUUUGGUAGAUUUAAUGACAAGAAAAACAUCGAUCUUUUAUAAAUCAAGCAAAGAUAAUACAACUAGUCGCUUUCACAUCAGUUCAUGUUUUUGUGAUGGAAUUAUUAAAAUUUUCUAGUGUUUUGGGAUUGCCACGGAAGGAUAUAGUUUUCUUAGACAAUAUGUUGAGUUGUCUCUUCUAGGUAAAUAUUUUGGCUAAUUGUGAGAAGCUGAGAACUAUGUAAUGCAUUUUCUGUCAUACCAUCCUUUAGUUUUGGCUAAAAAUAUCCGGAUCUUCUAUGUUAUACUCCAAAAUACUUUCAGAUGCAUCAUUUCUCGCAAUUAAAUAUCAGUUGUACAAAGGAAUCUGAAGUUAGAUUCAUGAAUGAUAAGUUUUGGACUUCUUAGUAUGUUCCACCUCGGAGCAGCCCUGUGGUUUGAUUUUCUGACAACCUAAAUACCAGGUCUAUAUUUGUUAGAUUUGCUACCCCACCCUGCUAUUUAAUUUUUUAUUUAAUUUUAUUUUUGCUCUGUAUUUUUCAUGAUCACAGGUGGUCAACAGAGCUCACUCUUGCCAUUGCUAUCAGUUACAUUUAUCCAUAAUCCUCGAUCUUUCUGGUGCAAGAGUAUAUUAUAUAUGCUCGUAGUUACAGAGAGGCAAAUUUAAACGAGUUGAAUUAGGCCUAGAGAGGAGUUGUGCCUAACCUAAUGAUUUGAAUUUGGUUCGGGUUGAUUGAAGUCAAGCUAAUGGCAAAAGUUGAUGAACCAACCUGACGUUGUUAGACUCGGGCCCAAUCGACUUAAGUUGUAUUCAUAAUGCACUUUUUAGGUUAGAUUGUACUUUCAAUUGUGGUCAAAAUUAAGUUGACGUUCUAAAUAUUUUUAAAGGUUUUAAAAAUCAUUUCAAACAGGUUAAGAGAUAUAGUGUACUAUAUGUUGUCUGUCUCUUUCUUCCACAUGUCAACUCAAGUCUCCUCGCAGCCCAGGAAAGCCACAGAACAAAGUGUUGAUGCAUUUUAAUUAAUCUACUUCUGUGAGGCUUUUGCAGGUAUUAGUAAUACUGUGGUGUACGUGCACAGGGCUAAUGCAUUGGUGCAAGAAAUACCAAUAUGAACAUAAAACAGUGCUAUCAGCCAUCAGUUCAGGUUAUAAGUAGUUGGAAUGGGCUUUUGAUGUGGUGGUGAGAUUGAAGAAAUGGGGGCCAGGGAAAGACUUGUAAGCUUUGUGAAAUUGAUGGAAACGUCAUGCAUUCGCAAUAAUUUGUUGAAAUGGCAAAUACCCAACUAUUUCCAAACACUCACAUCUAUACUUAUACCUAUGCCUAUGGUAUGAUUAUUACAACUUAUUUAGAAGCUCAAUUAGAAGCUCAGAAGACUUUUAAGGUAAAAAAGUUAUCUGCCUGAACA